rnacentral:rRNA from 1 species
UACGUAGGGUGCGAGCGUUAAUCGGAAUUACUGGGCGUAAAGCGUGCGCAGGCGGUUCGCUAAGACCGAUGUGAAAUCCCCCGGGCUUAACUGGGAACUGCAUUGGUGACUGGCGGGCUAGAGUAUGGCAGAGGGGGGUAGAAUUCCACGUGUAGCAGUGAAAUGCGUAGAGAUGUGGAGGAAUACCGAUGGCGAAGGCAGCCCCCUGGGCCAAUACUGACGCUCAUGCACGAAAGCGUGGGGAGCAAACAGG